rnacentral:rRNA from 1 species
CCUACGGGAGGCAGCAGUGAGGAAUAUUGGUCAAUGGGCGCGAGCCUGAACCAGCCAAGUAGCGUGAAGGAUGACUGCCCUACGGGUUGUAAACUUCUUUUAUAAAGGAAUAAAGUGAGGCACGUGUGCCUUUUUGUAUGUAUUUUAUGAAUAAGGAUCGGCUAACUCCGUGCCAGCAGCCGCGGUAAUACGGAGGAUCCGAGCAUUAUCCGGAUUUAUUGGGUUUAAAGGGAGCGUAGGUGGGUUGUUAAGUCAGUUGUGAAAUUUUGCGGCUCAACCGUAAAAUUGCAAUUGAUACUGGCGGACUUGAGUACAGUUGAGGUAGGCGGAAUUCGUGGUGUAGCGGUGAAAUGCUUAGAUAUCACGAAGAACACCGAUUGCGAAGGCAGCUUACUAAACUGCCACUGACGUUGAUGCUCGAAAGUGUGGGUAGCAAACAGGAUUAGAUACCCGUGUAGUC